rnacentral:rRNA from 1 species
CUGCCACCGAAUACAUUAGCAUGGGAUAAUGGAAUAGGACCCUGUCCUCCUAUUUUCAGUUGGUUUUGGCAGCGCGAGGACUAGGGUAAUGAUUAAUAGGGAUAGUUGGGGGCAUUAAUAUUUAAUUGUCAGAGGUGAAAUUCUUGGAUUUAUGAAAGAUUAACUUCUGCGAAAGCAUCUGCCAAGGAUGUUUUCAUUAAUCAAGAACGAAAGUUAGGGGAUCGAAGACGAUCAGAUACCGUCGUAGUCUUAACCAUAAACGAUGCCGACCAGCGAUUAGGAGACGUUGAAUACAAAACACCACCAUCGGCGCGGUCGUCCUUGGCGUCGGUCUUUCGGGGCCGGCGCGGGGACGGCUUAGCCCGGUGGCACCGGUGAAUGACUCCCCUAGCAGCUUGUGAGAAAUCAUAAGUCU